rnacentral:rRNA from 1 species
UACGUAGGGGUGCGAGCGUUUGUCCGGAAUUAUUGGGCGUAAAGAGCUUGUAGGCGGUUUGUCGCGUCUGCUGUGAAAUCUCAAGGCUCAACCUUGAGCUUGCAGUGGGUACGGGCAGACUAGAGUGUGGUAGGGGAGACUGGAAUUCCUGGUGUAGCGGUGAAAUGCGUAGAUAUCAGGAGGAACACCUGUGGCGAAAGCGGCUCACUGGACCAUAACUGACGCUGAUGCACGAAAGCUAGGGGAGCAAACAGG